rnacentral:rRNA from 1 species
CAGUAGCCGCGGGAAAACAGAGGGUGCGAGCGUUAAUCGGAUUUACUGGGCGUAAAGCGUGCGUAGGCGGCUUUUUAAGUCGGAUGUGAAAUCCCUGAGCUUUACUUAGGAAUUGCAUUCGAUACUGGGAAGCUAGAGUAUGGGAGAGGAUGGUAGAAUUCCAGGUGUAGCGGUGAAAUGCGUAGAGAUCUGGAGGAAUACCGAUGGCGAAGGCAGCCAUCUGGACGAAGACUGACGCUCAGGUGCGAAAGCGUGGGGAGCAAACAGGAUUAGAUACCCCGGUAGUCCCUGUCUCUUAUAC